CCUACGUGUGGCAGCAGUGAGGAAUAUUGGUCAAUGGGCGCGAGCCUGAACCAGCCAAGUCGCGUGAGGGAUGAAGGUUCUAUGGAUCGUAAACCUCUUUUAUAAGGGAAUAAAGUGUGGGACGUGUCCUAUUUUGUAUGUACCUUAUGAAUAAGGAUCGGCUAACUCCGUGCCAGCAGCCGCGGUAAUAAGGAGGAUCCGAGCGUUAUCCGGAUUUAUUGGGUUUAAAGGGUGCGUAGGCGGCCUUUUAAGUCAGCGGUGAAAGUCUGUGGAUCAACCAUGGCAUUGCCGUUGAAACUGGGGGGCUUGAGUAUGUUUGAGGCAGGCGGAAUGCGUGGUGUAGCGGUGAAAUGCAUAGAUAUCGCGCAGAACCCCGAUUGCGAAGGCAGCCUGCCAAGCCAUGACUGACGCUGAUGCACGAAAGCGUGGGGAUCAAACAGGAUUAGAUACCCUAGUAGUC
rnacentral:rRNA from 1 species